GACGAACGCUGGCGGCGUGCUUAACACAUGCAAGUCGAGCGGUAAGGCCCCUUCGGGGGUACACGAGCGGCGCACGGGUGAGUAACACGUAAGUAAUCUACCCUCGAGUGGGGAAUAACGUCCGGAAACGGACGCUAAUACCGCAUAAUGCAGCGGCACCGCAAGGUGACAGUUGUUAAAGAUUUAUCGCUUGAGGAGGAGCCUGCGGCAGAUUAGCUAGUUGGUAAGGUAAUGGCUUACCAAGGCUACGAUCUGUAACCGGUCUUAGAGGACGGUCGGUCACACUGACACUGAAUAACGGGUCAGACUCCUACGGGAGGCAGCAGUCGGGAAUUUUGGGCAAUGGGCGAAAGCCUGACCCAGCAACGCCGCGUGAAGGAUGAAGUAUUUCGGUAUGUAAACUUCGAAAGAAUGGGAAGAAUAAAUGACGGUACCAUUUAUAAGCUCCGGCUAACUACGUGCCAGCCGCCGCUGUAACAC
rnacentral:rRNA from 1 species